UUAUGCUGCAUCAGGUGGAUCCAGUCACAGAGCAGCAGUCAGAGCUCCAGUUCACAUCCUGGAGUCAACCAGAAUGAAACUAACCAGUACAGCUCUCCUCUCCACGUAGAUGAUGUUUGUCUGUAUGAGUCAAUCAAACCCACUAAACAGACUAAAAAUGAUGCAGAUGAAUCCAGAGAUGUCACAUACUCUCUUAUUGAACUGAAACAUUUUGGGAAAAAGGGGAGGCAUCAUGAACCAGAGGAGAGUUGUGUUUACUCUGAUGUGAAGACAGGAACUGCAGGAAAGUGGAGUCCUGCAGCAGCUGAUGCAGCAGUUUAUUCUGAGGUCAGUUUAGGAGCAGCUCUGGAUAACGAUGCUGCCAUGUAGGCUGCAUGCUGUGCUGCUUUAUUCAGGAAUAUGAAAGAUGGAAGAAAACUCACAAUAACUGUCAAAAAUAUCAGACAUGCUCAGUAGCUUCUGUUUUUAUGUUAUGAAAUUACCCUUUAAGCUCAAACUUUUCUUUUUAUUAUUAUUGAGUCACUUAGUAACGUUAGUUUUAGUUAUAUUUGAAUUAAGGGUGGGACUUUGACAUGUUAACUACAAUUAAUUACAAAAAAUGAACUCUUUAUAAACUUUAAAGCUGCAUUUAUAUUCAUGCUGGGUCUGCAUAUGGUAGGGUUCAGUAAAGAUGAUGCCAGUGAAAUUUGCUCUUGCAAUCCAGCGUAUGGUUACGACCUUGUGUUGCAGUUCCUCUGCUGCGAUAAGCACACAAAUUCAGCAAGAAGCUCCAGAAAUCUGAAAGUAUAUAAACCGACCAACCACAAGGAAGUACUUCACUGUAAUCAUGCUGCAAGCAGGGGUGCACGUCAGGGCUGGAAGAGGUGCGCGUUGAGCCUCUGCGGACUUACGUGGAGCAUCCGGCAGUAA